rnacentral:rRNA from 1 species
GACGAACGCUGGCGGCGUGCUUAACACAUGCAAGUCGAACGGAAAGGCCCUGCUUUUGUGGGGUGCUCGAGUGGCGAACGGGUGAGUAACACGUGAGUAACCUGCCCUUGACUUUGGGAUAACUUCAGGAAACUGGGGCUAAUACCGGAUAGGAGCUCCUGCUGCAUGGUGGGGGUUGGAAAGUUUCGGCGGUUGGGGAUGGACUCGCGGCUUAUCAGCUUGUUGGUGGGGUAGUGGCUUACCAAGGCUUUGACGGGUAGCCGGCCUGAGAGGGUGACCGGCCAAAUUGGGACUGAGAUACGGCCCAGACUCCUACGGGAGGCAGCAGUGGGGAAUAUUGCACAAUGGGCGGAAGCCUGAUGCAGCAACGCCGCGUGCGGGAUGACGGCCUUCGGGUUGUAAACCGCUUGCGCCUGUGACGAAGCGUGAGUGACGGUAAUGGGUAAAGAAGCACCGGCUAACUACGUG